AACGGUCUAUACCUGCGGUACCUGCGGAAGGAUCAUUACUGAGUGAGGGCCCUCUGGGUCCAACCUCCCACCCGUGUUUAACGAACCUUGUUGCUUCGGCGGGCCCGCCUCACGGCCGCCGGGGGGCAUCCGCCCCCGGGCCCGCGCCCGCCGAAGCCACCUGUGAACGCUGUCUGAAGUUGCAGUCUGAGAAAAUUAUUAAAUUAAUUAAAACUUUUAACAAUGGAUCUCUAGAUCGGA
rnacentral:misc_RNA from 1 species